UACAGAGACUGCAAGCGUUAUUCGGAUUCACUGGGCGUAAAGGGUGCGCAGGUGGCUAGGUGUGUGAGGCGUGAAAGCCCGGGGCUUAACCCCGGAAUUGCACCUCAAACUACUUGGCUAGAGCAUUGGAGAGGGGAGCAGAAUUCAUGGUGUAGCAGUGAAAUGCGUAGAUAUCAUGAGGAAUACCAGAGGCGAAGGCGGCUCCCUGGACAAUUGCUGACACUCAGGCACGAAAGCGUGGGGAGCAAACAGG
rnacentral:rRNA from 1 species